UACAGAGGUCCCGAGCGUUGUUCGGAUUCACUGGGCGUAAAGGGUGCGUAGGUGGCAUGGCAAGUUUGAUGUGAAAGCUCAGGGCUUAACCCUGAAAUGGCAUUGAAUACUGCUGUGCUGGAGGUUUGGAGGGGGGACUGGAAUUCUUGGUGUAGCAGUGAAAUGCGUAGAUAUCAAGAGGAACACCAGUGGCGAAGGCGAGUCCCUGGACAACACCUGACACUGAGGUACGAAAGCUAGGGGAGCAAACAGG
rnacentral:rRNA from 1 species